GCUGUUAAGAAGUGUUAACGGU
rnacentral:siRNA from 1 species